rnacentral:lncRNA from 1 species
UAGCAUAUAUGAUGAGAUAUGUUAUGAGCUAGCAUAUAUGAUGAGAUAUGUUAUGAGCUAGCAUCAUAUGUCAUACAUGUCACUAGAGGUGACUUCGGACUUAUGAGCUAGCCUUGAUUGAUGAGAAAUUGAUAAGUCGUACAGGUCACGUGAGGUGACUUCGGCUAGUAUGUAAUGAGAUAUUGAUUCAACCGUACUUGAUAGGUGGAUCCGGCUAACAUGCCAUUUCACAUUGGUUUAUCUCACCUGGGUUACUUAUUCUUGUUGAGAUAUUUGACGUGGCAUAACUGUAAGACUAUUAUUUUGGUUAUAUUUUUCAUUUAUAGUCACGCCUGUUAUUUUCUGGGAAAUUAUACAGGUAUCACGACGAGGGGCUAUUAAUUUUGGUAGUUGGAAUUGGUUUGAAAAGUUUUGUUUCACUCACUCACAUUUUCUAUUUUUGUACCCCUCCAGGUUCUAGCAGCAAAUUUCCAUAUCGACGAGGAUUCAUGGCACUUUUCAGCACAUAUGUCUUUUUAUGAUGGUAUAAUCAUUAUCUCACCUUACCAUACUAUACCUAUGCUCUGUAUCACGCAUGAAAUGGGUCCAAAUCCGCUCACCGCGCACUCGUGUACCUAGGCACUCUUAGGUUUUAAUUUAUUCACAUUUUAUACAUUAUCACACUUUAUGGCUUCGUCACCUUCCAGGUGUCGGCCAGGACGGCCCGAUUCGGGGUCCUAGUGGACAUUUCGGGUCGGGGUGUGUCACUUAACAUUAUCCAAAGAAUGCUAGCGAGACAAUAUGUAUCAUGCCGAUGUUGCUUGCUAUGCAUGAAGCCACAUGUCUAUCUAACAAGUAUGUGGCUGAGACCCCAAGACCAGGGUCGGCCCUGAGGGGGUGCAAAGUGUGCGAUCGCAUAGGGCCUCGAUUUUUUGGGGUCCCCAAAUUCUAAAACCUCUAUAUAUAUAU